rnacentral:rRNA from 1 species
AGCAGCCGCGGUAAUUCCAGCCCCAAUAGCGUAUAUUAAAGUUGUUGCAGUUAAAAAGCUCGUAGUUGAAUUUCGAGAUCGGCUUACUGGUCGUGCUUUUGUACGUACUGGUAUAAUCGGUUUCUCCUUUCUGACGAACUAUAAUGCCAUUAAUUUGGUGUUAUAGGGAAUCAGGACUGUUACUUUGAAAAAUUGAGUGUUUAAAGCAGGCUCACGCUUGAAUACAUUAGCAUGGAAUAACGGAUAGGACGUUUGAUUCUAUUUGUUGGUUCUAGGAUCGACGUAAUGAUUAAUAGGGAUAGUUGGGGCAUUAGUAUUCAAUUGUCAGAGGUGAAAUUCUUGGAUUUAUUG